GCCCUGCCCCUGCGCUGUCCCUUACCCCCAGUCUCCACCCUCGCGCUGCCUCUUCCCUGCAAGACCCCGCCCACGCCUUUCUCCCCCCAUCACUAGCCCUUGUGAGAGGCCUUGCUGCUGCAGGUGCAGAUACAGGCCCAGGGAUUGGAAGCAAUCGAUGGUGAGUUGUGUAAAGCGGAGGGCCUCGUCGAACGUGGAGGCCUUCAGGAGGCAAUCGUCGAGGGGUUUGGAUGCCUAAGGAUCGAAGAGUGGCCCUUGAGUCCUUCAUUGAGUGAAGCACCUCAUUCGUGGUGGAAGCAAAGAGUUCAUCACCAUCAAAAGGGAGAUCCUCUAUGGUGCUCUGAACCUCGCGAGGAAAGAGGGAAGAAGAGAGCCAUGAACCUCGGCGCAUGACCACCGCCGUAGCGGUGGAUCUUGCUGUGGUAUUGGCUGCAU